GUUUUCUCCCCCUUUCACUGUUAGUUAGAGAAAGAAAAGAAGCAAAUUUUUCCUUUCAUUUUCUCCAUUGUCGUGCCAUCAACUAGGAGGAUGGCUAAAGAUGACGUCGAGAUGUCGAAAAACAAAAGAAAAGACAAAGUCGUCGACGAAUAGCUAAUAUGCUUUCGGAUAAAAGCUAUAAACGUUUCGUGUUCAAGCAUUUAAUUCUCAAACUUAGCUCAGAACCCAUUAAGAACCUAUUUUGUACGUAUAUAUAUGUUUUGAAUUCAUAUGGCAUGUACCUUGGUUGGUGACUUGUUGCCUAAGCUAGUUAUGGCACUUUUGGUUGGUAAGUGACCUAUAAUGUUAUUUUGGUUGAAUUUUAUCUCUUGAUUACUAGUUAAUUA